AUGGCCCUAGCAGACGUCGAUGUCGAGAUCGGGGGACUGCCGGCGGAGCACCGUCUGCGGAUCAUCGGCGACGGUUCCGUCGACGACGACGGCAAGCCCAAGAGAACGGGAACGGUAUGGACGGCGAGCGCGCACAUCAUAACGGCGGUGAUCGGCUCCGGCGUGCUGUCCCUGCCCUGGUCCAUGGCGCAGCUCGGCUGGGUCGCCGGGCCGGCCACGCUCGUCGUCUUCGCCGGCGUCGCGUACUACACCUCCGUGCUCCUCACCGACUGCUACCGCAGCGGGGACGCCGUCGCCGGGAAGAGGAACUACACCUACAUGGAGGCCGUCGAGUCCUACCUAGGCAGCGGCCAAGUGUGGUUCUGCGGCCUCUGCCAGUACGUCAACCUCGUCGGAACCGCGAUCGGGUACACCAUCACGGCGUCGACCAGCGCCGCGGCUCUGUACAAGGCCAACUGCUUCCACAACGGCGGCCACUCCGCCGACUGCGGCGUGUACACCACCAUGUACAUGGUCGUGUUCGGGGUCUCCCAGGUCGUCUUCUCCCAGCUCCCCAACCUCCACCAGAUGGCGUGGCUGUCGAUCCUCGCCGCGGUCAUGUCCUUCUCCUACUCCACCAUCGGCGUUGGCCUCUCCUUGGCGCAGACCAUAUCAGGCCCUACCGGCUAGACGACCAUGGGUGGCACUGCCAUUGGGGUAGACGUUGCAAGUUCGGCGCAGAAGAUAUGGCUGACACUGCAAGCGCUCGGCAACAUCGCAUUCGCCUACUCGUACUCCAUGGUCCUCAUAGAAAUCCAGGACACGGUGAAGGCGCCUCCGGCCGAGAACAAGACGAUGAGGAAGGCGAACCUCAUGGGGGUCUCCACCACCACGGCCUUCUACAUGCUCUGCGGCUGCCUGGGCUACGCCGCCUUCGGCAACGCGGCGCCCGGGAACAUGCUCACCGGCUUCGGCUUCUACGAGCCCUUCUGGCUUAACUUCGCCAACGUCUGCAUCGUCGUGCACCUCGUCGGCGCCUACCAGGUCUACUGCCAGCCCAUCUACGCGGCCGUGGAGAGCUGGGCCGCGGCACGGUGGCCGGAAUCGGACUUCGUCGUCCGCCGGUACCAUCCCUUCGGUGCCGGCAAGUUCAGCAUCAACAUGUUCAGGCUGGCGUGGAGGACGGCGUUCGUCGUCGUGAGCACAGUACUUGCCAUCUUGCUGCCCUUCUUCAACGACAUCCUUGGCCUCCUCGGCGCGCUCGGGUUCUGGCCGCUCACUGUGUACUUGCCCGUGGAGAUGUACAUCCGGCAGAGCAAAGUGAAGAGGUCCUCGUGGAAGUGGGUGGCGCUGCAGAGCCCGAGCUUCGUGUGUUUCGCGGUGACGGUGGGCGUGACUGUGGCGUCCGUGCAGGGGAUCACCCAAUCGCUCAAAAACUAUGUGCCGUUCAAGACCAAGUUGUGA
rnacentral:rRNA from 1 species